GAAGUAGUCUGGGGUGCGACGAGUAACAUGCGGUUCACCUCUACGCGGUGCUGGGUCAAACUGCAAACUGAAGAGCACAGACAUCAAUGAAAACACAGGAGCUCAGCUUACACUCAGCUGGUGCAGCUUUUUCCCUGUUGGAUCUGUCUGUAACAUCCCAAAACAACUAGAAGGAAAUAUUAGAAACCCUCUGAAAUAAUGCUUGGUGCAGCAAAAAUCCCGACACUGUGUCAGUGUAAAAGAAGUGGCCAAACACGCUCGUGUUUACAGUUCCCUGGGAUUUCCCAGGGAGAAGGCAAAGCCGCAGCUUUUGGAGUAUCCUCGCUAGAAGGGAGUACAGAGAUGUCAUCGCUCCGCAGCCUCGGGACUGAUGGAAGAAAUCCCUGGAUUUCGAAAGGCUCCACAGCCACACCUGCUGGCUUGGAGAGCUCUGCACAACACGGGGGAAACCCAGGAUUUUUUAGAGAAAUCACUCCAUAACAAUGCUUAAUGCUGUAUCACACCGUGGUGCCCUCCGGGUGUCAGAAAAAUGGUCCACAUUUUAAAAUAGUGUUCAAGUGCUGUAUAGAUGUUCUUGUAAAAACCUCUUUGUGGCCAAGCCAAGCAUUAAACAAGCUAAAAGACAGAAAUUACAUUUCCUAAGCUCCCACAACCUUUAUACAUGUGCGUCUUUAUACAUUAAAAGGUGAUUGUAUGGUACCUGCUAUUCAACUGGAGAGUUUUCUUUACCCUCUGUUUGGGUGAGUAAACAAAAUGGGGUUUUUUCACUGCUCACUGUGUGAUUUGUGCACUCUGCAGAGAGCCAAAUCUGUUGCUUUUCCAUGAUAAA